GUUGCUGUAUCUUAGUGGCCUGAGUGUUGGACUAUGACUCUGGAGAUCAGAGUUCAAUUCCCCACUCAGCCAUG